rnacentral:rRNA from 1 species
CCUACGGGUGACAGCAGUGAGGAAUAUUGGUCAAUGGGCGCGAGCCUGAACCAGCCAAGUCGCGUGAGGGAAGACGGUCCUAUGGAUUGUAAACCUCUUUUGUCGGGGAGCAAAAGACGCCACGCGUGGCGUUCCGAGAGUACCCCAACAAAAAGCAUCGGCAAACCCCGUGCCAGCAGCCGCGGUAAUACGGAGGAUGCGAGGGUUAUCCGGUUUUAUGGGGGUAAAAGGGUGCGCAGGCGGAAGAGCAAGUCAGCGUUAAAAUUGAGGGGCUCAACCUCUUCGAGCCGUUGAAACUGGUUUUCUUGAGUGAGUGAGAAGUAUGCGGAAUGCGUGGUGUAGCGGUGAAAUGCAUAGAUAUCACGCAGAACUCCGAUUGCGAAGGCAGCAUACCGGCGCUCAACUGACGCUCAUGCACGAAAGUGUGGGUAUCGAACAGGAUUAGAUACCCCAGUAGUC